rnacentral:rRNA from 1 species
AGUGAACGCUGGCGGUAGGCCUAACACAUGCAAGUCGAACGGCAGCACAGUAAGAGCUUGCUCUUACGGGUGGCGAGUGGCGGACGGGUGAGGAAUACAUCGGUAUCUACUUUUUCGUGGGGGAUAACGUAGGGAAACUUACGCUAAUACCGCAUACGACCUACGGGUGAAAGCAGGGGAUCUUCGGACCUUGCGCGAUUGAAUGAGCCGAUGUCGGAUUAGCUAGUUGGCGGGGUAAAGGCCCACCAAGGCGACGAUCCGUAGCUGGUCUGAGAGGAUGAUCAGCCCCACUGGAACUGAGACACGGUCCAGACUCCUACGGGAGGCAGCAGUGGGGAAUAUUGGACAAUGGGCGCAAGCCUGAUCCAGCCAUACCGCGUGGGUGAAGAAGGCCUUCGGGUUGUAAAGCCCUUUUGUUGGGAAAGAAAAGCAGCAGGUUAAUACCCCGCUGUUCUGACGGUACCCAAAGAAUAAGCACCGGCUAACUUCGUG